rnacentral:rRNA from 1 species
GAUUGACCUCGGAUCAGGUAGGGAUACCCGCUGAACUUAAGCAUAUCAAUAAGCGGAGGAAAAGAAACCAACAGGGAUUGCCUCAGUAACGGCGAGUGAAGCGGCAACAGCUCAAAUUUGAAAUCUGGUCCUUUUAGGCCCCGAGUUGUAAUUUGUAGAGGGUGUUUCGGGUGCGGUACGGGUCUAAGUCCUUUGGAACAGGGUGUCAUAGAGGGUGAGAAUCCCGUAUGUGACCUGUGAUCAAGCCCAUGUGAAACCCCUUCGACGAGUCGAGUUGUUUGGGAAUGCAGCUCAAAAUGGGUGGUAAAUUUCAUCUAAAGCUAAAUACCGGCCAGAGACCGAUAGCGCACAAGUAGAGUGAUCGAAAGAUGAAAAGCACUUUGGAAAGAGAGUCAAAAAGCACGUGAAAUUGUUGAAAGGGAAGCGCUUGCAACCAGACCUGUCCGCAGGCGAUCAACCUUCCGUUCUCGGGGGUGCACUCGUCCGUGAUCAGGCCAGCAUCAGUUCAGGCGGUUGGAUAAAGGCCUUGGGAAUGUAGCUCCUUUCGGGGAGUCUUAUAGCCCUUGGUGCAAUGCGGCCAGCCUGGACUGAGGACCGCGCUUCGGCUAGGAUGCUGGCGUAAUGGUUGUAAGCGACCCGUCUUGAAACACGGACCAAGGAGUCUAACAUCUAUGCAAGUGUUUGGGUGUCAAACCCAUGCGCGUAAUGAAAGUGAACGGAGGUGAGAACCCUUAAGGGCGCAUCAUCGACCGAUCCAGAUGUCUUCGGAUGGAUUUGAGUACGAGCAUAGCUGUUGGGACCCGAAAGAUGGUGAACUAUGCCUGAAUAGGGUGAAGCCAGAGGAAACUCUGGUGGAGGCUCGCAGCGGUUCUGACGUGCAAAUCGAUCGUCAAAUUUGGGUAUAGGGGCGAAAGACUAAUCGAACC